rnacentral:rRNA from 1 species
GACGAACGCUGGCGGCGUGCUUAACACAUGCAAGUGGAGCGACGAACCGGGCUUCGGCCCGGGGCAAAGCCGCGAACGGGUGAGUAUCACGUGGGUAACCUGCCCCGAUGACCGGGAUAACCCGAGGAAACUCGAGCUAAUACCGGAUGUGCUCCCAAUCCAUCAGGGUUGGAAGUAAAGGAAGCUUCGGCCUCCGCAUUGGGAUGGGCCCGCGGCCCAUUAGCUUGUUGGUGAGGUAACGGCUCACCAAGGCCACGAUGGGUAGCUGGUCUGAGAGGACGAUCAGCCACACUGGGACUGAGACACGGCCCAGACUCCUACGGGAGGCAGCAGUGGGGAAUCUUGCGCAAUGCGCGAAAGCGUGACGCAGCAACGCCGCGUGAGGGAAGAAGGCCUUCGGGUUGUAAACCUCUUUCAGGAGGGACGAAGGUUCAGGCGCGAAUAGCGUCCUGGACUGACGGUACCUCCAGAAGAAGCCCCGGCUAACUACGUGCCAGCCGCCGCCGUAACAC